UGGGGAAUCUUGGACAAUGGGGGCAACCCUGAUCCAGCCAUGCCGCGUGAGUGAUGAAGGCCUUAGGGUCGUAAAGCUCUUUCGCCUGUGAAGAUAAUGACGGUAGCAGGUAAAGAAACCCCGGCUAACUCCGUGCCAGCAGCCGCGGUAAUACGGAGGGGGUUAGCGUUGUUCGGAAUUACUGGGCGUAAAGCGCACGUAGGCGGACCAGAAAGUUGGGGGUGAAAUCCCGGGGGCUCAACCCCGGAACUGCCUCCAAAACUAUUGGUCUAGAGUUCGAGAGAGGUGAGUGGAAUUCCAAGUGUAGAGGUGAAAUUCGUAGAUAUUUGGAGGAACACCAGUGGCGAAGGCGGCUCACUGGCUCGAUACUGACGCUGAGGUGCGAAAGUGUGGGGAGCAAACAGGAUUAGAUACCCUGGUAGUCCACACCGUAAAACGAUGAAUGCCAGUCGUCGGGUAGCAUGCUAUUCGGUGACACACCUAACGGAUUAAGCAUUCCGCCUGGGGAGUACGGUCGCAAGAUUAAAACUCAAAUGAAUUGAC
rnacentral:rRNA from 1 species